GCCGAGGUGGCGGAAUAUGGCAGACGCGCUGGCUUGAGGGGCCAGUGGUCCGAGAGGACCGUGCGGGUUCGACUCCCGCCCUCGGCACCA
rnacentral:tRNA from 1 species